AGAACGAACGCUGGCGGCAGGCCUAACACAUGCAAGUCGAACGCCCCGCAAGGGGAGUGGCAGACGGGUGAGUAACGCGUGGGAACAUACCUUUCGGUUCGGAAUAGCUCAGGGGAAACUUGGAUUAAUACCGGAUACGUCCAAGGUUAACGACUUUGGAGAAAGAUUCAUCGCCGAAAGAUUGGCCCGCGUCCGAUUAGCUAGUUGGUGGGGUAAAAGCUUACCAAGGCGACGAUCGGUAGCUGGUCUGAGAGGAUGAUCAGCCACACUGGGACUGAGACACGGCCCAGACUCCUACGGGAGGCAGCAGUGGGGGAUAUUGGACAAUGGGCGCAAGCCUGAUCCAGCCAUGCCGCGUGAGUGAUGAAGGCCCUAGGGUUGUAAAGCUCUUUCGUCAGGGACGAUAAUGACGGUACCUGAAGAAGAAGCCCCGGCUAACUCGUGCCAGCAGCCGC
rnacentral:rRNA from 1 species